rnacentral:tRNA from 1 species
GGAAGGGUGGCCGAGUGGUUUAAGGCACCGGUCUUGAAAACCGGCAAUGGGUAACCAUUCAUGGGUUCGAAUCCCAUCCCUUCCGCCA